rnacentral:rRNA from 1 species
GACGAACGCUGGCGGCGUGCUUAACACAUGCAAGUCGAGCGGUAAGGCCCUUUCGGGGGUACACGAGCGGCGAACGGGUGAGUAACACGUGGGUGACCUGCCCUCAGCUCUGGGAUAAGCCUGGGAAACUGGGUCUAAUACCGGAUAUGACUCCAUGACGCAUGUUGUGGGGUGGAAAGCCUUGUGCGGCUGAGGAUGGGCCCGCGGCCUAUCAGCUUGUUGGUGGGGUGAGGCCUACCAAGGCGACGACGGGUAGCCGGCCUGAGAGGGCGACCGGCCACACUGGGACUGAGACACGGCCCAGACUCCUACGGGAGGCAGCAGUGGGGAAUCUUGCGCAAUGGGCGAAAGCCUGACGCAGCGACGCCGCGUGAGGGAUGACGGCC